rnacentral:lncRNA from 1 species
GAAAACCAGCCGCGGAAGAUCAACCAGAUAAUCGAACGUCGAACGCCAAAGACUUUAAGGCAAUCUUAUUGCUAGGGUAUAGAGGAUUAAGUGACUCAGUAGAAGCGUUUAUGAUAGUUAGGAUAACGGAAAGGGCAAAAGAUAACUUUUAUCACCUAUACGAUAAAAGGGAAAUGAGAUAAAGAGAAAGUUUGUGGGCAGAAGAGACAUAUCUCUUCCAAUUGUCCCAAUUCAAGAAUGUAUAGCGAAUGUUUUAUUUGUGAAUCAAUGGAGUAUAAGGUGAAAGAUUAUUCAAGAAGGAGAAGUGAGAUAAGGAAUGCGAAUACGAGAAAUGACAGCAAGAUAUAGGCGACAACGAAACCAAUUUCAACAAACAACCCAACUGCGAGGGUCUACAACAUGACGGUCCAGGAUACGGUGGCAGCUGGAAACAGAACUCCAGGUGCUAUUUGAAUAACUUAUGUGUCUUAUAUGAUUUUCCUGUAUAUAUACAUAUAGUAGAUUACUUUAUUAAAGAAAUUUUGAGGAAGGAAUUUGAGUUCUUUUAGAAAUCAAAUUUCUGUUUAUCAGAAAGACAAGCGUUAUGGAGAAUAGUUAAAGAUCAGUUCGAUCAAGUAUUGAUCGAGGUCUAUGUGCAAGGAUUAUAUGCGUUAUGUACUCUUCUGUGUAUGAGUUUUAAAGCGGUGAUUCCGGGGACGGAAUCCUUAUAAGGGAGGGUGAAUGU